CACGCCCAGUCAAGCCAGAGGGCCUUCUCUGGGUGGGCCCCGCCCCGCCCCCUACCGGAAGACGCACCCUCGAAAGCGGGCCCCGCCCCGGAAGCCCCAACCUGAAAGGCCCGUUCCAGGGAGAGGCCGCGGUAUCGCAUGAGGUAGGCAGUGCAGACAGCGGCUGAGCGGCUGCGACCGUUCUUGCAGUAGACCAGGCAGGCGCCACCGGCGCGCACCGCGGCCUCCAUGGCGGCACAGGUGGGCUCCAGAUGCACCAGCAGGUCCUCGUGCGGGUCGUCGAAAACGGGCACCCGCAGCUCGGCCACUCCGGGCGCGCUUGGGCCGGGCUGCAGGCGGGAGACGUUGACACAUAACGUGAUACCCGAGCGCUGCAGCAGUUCCGUGGCGCCCGCGGCGCGCGCGUUGCCGAGGAAGAGCGCGGGGGCGACGAGCGUGAACGUCGGCGGCGCGACCUCGGGGGACCUGCUGUGGGCAGCUCUUUCCGGGCUCAUCGCGGUGACCGCCCCGAGGGUCUACUUAGGGCCGAGGUCCCGCCCGCGCCUGGGCCCGCCGGGCGGGGUUAAGGUUAGGGUCAGCUGCGGGUGGCUAGGGCGGGACCUAGCAUUGGCUCUCUGAUUGGCCGUGGGUUGGGCGUGGCCUGGCAUUGACUCCGAUUGGCCGUGGCGUGGGUGGGGCCUUGCGCCUGCUUUCUGAUUGGCGGAAAGCGGGCGUCUCAGGACCCCACAGUGUUCCCUACUAGCUUGAGCCAUGCGGCCCUGUGCUGGAAGGGUGGUUGGUAGACGUGGACAUGGACUGGAUCAAGGAGUAGCUAAUCCAACACUGACCAGCGUCCUUCUGGCUUUCAUAAGGACCUCGUGGUUGUCCUAUGGGCUAUUGACAGAAGGCCACUUGGUUUCCUGUGGGUUUUUUUUUUUUAAAUUCUAAUCAGGUAUACAUGACAGAAGAAUGCUCUUUGAUUCAUUGUAUACAAAUGGAGUACAUUUUUUCACUUCACUGGUUGUACACGAAGUAGGGUUACACCUUCAUACAAUCAUACAUGUUUCUACGGUAAUGAUAUCCUCCUGUGGGUUUUUGUUAUUGUUGCAGCGUUAUACCUUUAUCUAUUUCCUAAUAAAUUGUCCUUUGUCAUCUUUGA
rnacentral:lncRNA from 1 species